GGCACAGUGGCAGUGUGGUUAGCUGGUUGUGUAGCAUGAGUCACUGCCACUAUCCUCACUGCCCUUGUGAC
rfam:Zootermopsis nevadensis contig6467, whole genome shotgun sequence.